rnacentral:rRNA from 1 species
GAUGAACGCUAGCGACAGGCCUAACACAUGCAAGUCGAGGGGCAGCAUAAAGGUAGCAAUACUUUGGUGGCGACCGGCGCACGGGUGAGUAACACGUAUGCAACCUACCUGUAAGAGGGGAAUAACCCGGAGAAAUUCGGACUAAUACCGCAUAAUACCACGAAGCUGCAUGGCUUUGUGUUUAAACAUUUAUGGCUUACAGAGGGGCAUGCGUAUGAUUAGAUAGUUGGUAGGGUAACGGCCUACCAAGUCAACGAUCAUUAGGGGUUCUGAGAGGAAGGUCCCCCACACUGGUACUGAGACACGGACCAGACUCCUACGGGAGGCAGCAGUGAGGAAUAUUGGUCAAUGGGCGAGAGCCUGAACCAGCCAAGUCGCGUGAAGGAAGAAGGUUCUAUGGAUUGUAAACUUCUUUUGUAAGGGAAUAAAAAGAGUUACGUGUAACUUAUUGUAUGUACUUUACGAAUAAGGAUCGGCUAACUCCGUGCCAGCCGCCGCGGUAAUAC